rnacentral:rRNA from 1 species
AUUGAACGCUGGCGGCAUGCUUUACACAUGCAAGUCGAACGGUAACAGGCCGCAAGGUGCUGACGAGUGGCGAACGGGUGAGUAAUGCAUCGGAACGUGCCCAGUCGUGGGGGAUAACGCAGCGAAAGCUGCGCUAAUACCGCAUACGAUCUCUGGAUGAAAGCGGGGGACCGAAAGGCCUCGCGCGAUUGGAGCGGCCGAUGUCAGAUUAGGUAGUUGGUGGGGUAAAGGCCCACCAAGCCAACGAUCUGUAGCUGGUCUGAGAGGACGACCAGACACACGGGGAAUGAGAAACGGCCCAGACUCCUACGGGAGGCAGCAGUUGGGAAUUUUGGACAAUGGGCGCAAGCCUGAUUCAGCAAUGCCGCGUGCAGGAAGAAGGCCUUCGGGUUGUAAACUGCUUUUGUACGGAACGAAACGGUCCGGGUUAAUACCCUGGGCUAAUGACGGUACCGUAAGAAUAAGCACCGGCUAACUACGUGCCAGCAGCCGCCGUAAUAC